rnacentral:rRNA from 1 species
GACGAACGCUGGCGGCGUGCUUAACACAUGCAAGUGGUGCGACGAACCAGGCUUCGGCCUGGGGCAAGGCCGCGAACGGGUGAGUAACACGUGAGUAAUCUGCCCCGAUGACCGGGACAACCCGAGGAAACUCGGGCUAAUACCGGAUGAUGAGCCUUGGCCCAAGCCUUGUCUCUAAAGGAAGCUUCGGCCUCCGCAUCGGGAGGAGCUCGCGGCCCAUUAGCUUGUUGGUGGGGUAACGGCCUACCAACGCGACGAUGGGUAGCUGGUGUGAGAGGACGAUCAGCCACACUGGGACUGGGACGCGGCCCAGACGCCUACGGGGGGCAGUAGUGGGGAAUCUUGCGCAAUGCGCGAAAGCGUGACGCAGCAACGCCGCGUGGGGGAAGACGGCCUUCGGGUUGUAAACCCCUUUCAGGAGGGACGAAGGUUCGCCGGUGAAUAGCCGUGCGGAUUGACGGUACCUCCACAAGAAGCUCCGGCUAGCUACGUGCCAGCCGCCGCCGUAAAAC